GGGGGCGAAAUUGGCUUCGACAGGGAUAGUGAACUUUUAGUAGCGAGCAGUUGUGAGGAACAACUUUAAAAGUCUCAAAACAAAUAAACGACAAUAAUAAUAGUUUAGCUUACGCAGCUUAAUAGCGUCAUCUGAACCUUGAGGCCCACGUCAAGGGGAAGGUGUCAAAACCUGUGGGAAACAAAGCUUGGCAAGACUUCAUAGCCAAGGGGGUAAUUAUGAGGUUAUAGUUUAAAUUGUUUGUCUUUAGAAAAUUUAAACAGAAUAUUAAAUAAAGACUGCGCUCGGAGAAAUUAUUAGGAAUCUAUUUUUGGACGCGGGUUCAACUCCCGCCGCUUCCACCA
rfam:Peptoniphilus sp. BV3C26 contig00002, whole genome shotgun sequence.